GAAAGGUUAGGCUACUGUUAGCCGGGUGGAAGCUGUGGAGGAGACUGGAGAUGAAGUGAGGGUGUGACUGACACAUGGAUAGAAACGGCUAGCAGGGGGCAGCGGGAGGUGGCAGUGGGAGAAUAAUGGGGACAGGAUGCGAGUGUGUUCCUUUGACAAGUGUGUGUGUGUGGGUGUGUGUGUUGUUUCAGGUGUCCAUACACCCCCAAGCCAACCACCAGGCACAGGAGAGGAAGGACUGGCAGCUCAUUACCCUGAUCAAAGACCUCACUUCCCCCUCAGGAUGUGGAGAUCAAUUAAGGAAAUGAAGGUGUGGUGAUGAAAGGAGGGGUGGAGAAGCAAGAAGAAGGAAAGAGCCACUUAAAUCUGUCUAACAAGUUAAUCAGUUGGUCCUGGAGGCCGAAGCUAGCGACUAAUCAAUGAAGCUAACGGCACGUUGGAGUGGGGCUAGGACAGAAGAGGAGAUCGACAAUCUUAAAACUACUCUGACUCUCAAACAGGACAGCAGCUUCUGCCGACACUAUCUCACGAACCUCUAAACCAUCAUCCCGUUCGCAUUGAACGGCUAUUCACACAGAAAAGGACGACUGCUUACACUGGAGAGGGACGUAGGAGGUGGUGAACCAUCAUUUAUACCCUGCAACGCCUGACAUCGCGUUCAGAAACUGACCACUCCAUGAUCCAUCAUAACAAAAGAGGUG